AGCGCUCCAAUGUUGAUGGAGAAGUAGAACCAGUUGAAGAAGGAAGCUUUCUUAACUCGUUCGCGAGAGUCCGUGUCAUCGAACUGGUCUGCACCGAAGGAUGAGACGCAUGGUUUGAUGCCUCCAGUGCCGAGGGCGAUCAGGUAAAGCCCACCAAAGAACAUUGCGUACUGUGCUGGUGUUGCUGAUGGACAGAAAGUGCCAAUGCAUUCCGCUGGCUUUAGUGCCGGAACUGACGCUGAGAGAGUUAGCGCAGACAUGCCCUAAACAAAAAACAGAGCAAAGAAAACCAAAACUCAAACUUCAAAUCAAUUGUGUGAUAAGACACAACCAUUGAAAAGGUGCUUACGAUGAAGUAAAUGCCGGAGAAACAAGCGAUGGUCCAGUAUCUGCCCCAGUAAGCAUCGGCUAAGACAGCACCAAUGAGCGGGGUGAGAUAACAAGUCCCCUGCCAUGUGGUGACGUUUCUAGCAGCGGAAACGUUUCCUUGGUGGAGUUUAGUGGUGAGGUAAGUGAUAAGAUUCCCAGCAAUACCAUAGUAAGCUAGCCUCUCGCAGCAUUCAUUACCUACACAUUAAAAACAUCAUCCUCAUAAGGUUAAGAUACAUAAGGAAUAGGAUUGAAAUGAAACGAAAUGUACCUAAAAUGAAAGGACAAGCUUUCCAGUUGCCUGUCUUCUCCUUGAGUGGUGGGUUUCCAUGAAGGUCCACUGAACCAUCUUGAGCAUACAGUUUUGGUUCCUGGUCAAACAAAAGUCAAGAUUACAUCUUUUAGCCAAAGACCAUUGCCAGUGAACAAUAAUAGCAUCAAAAUAGUUUUAACUACAACAUAAUCUGAUCUGCACUGGCAAAGUUUAUACAUUUGGAAUCAUAAUCACCCUCAAGGGUUAUAAAUAAAUACAUGGAAGGGAAUCAACAGCAAUUACCCAGAAAAAUCUCUCAACAAACAAACAUGCAUAAGAUCAUCAAACUCAAGCUCAAGUCAAGAUUUUUGGAGAAAUGAAAACCCUAAGAGAGAGAGAAAAAUCAAAAUCCAGAUUAACCUAAAUUCAAGCGAUUAGAAACAACAUCUAAGAGCGAAAUUGAUGAUCAAACCUGCGAGAUUAAACCUUCUUCGAUGAGAGGUGAUUCUUCUUCAAUGGAGCCCAUCCUUCUCGCUUCGAUUUAAGAUUCCAUCUUUACUCUUUAUUUAUUUGGAAGACGUGACGUGACGUGAUUGUUUUCUAUUUUAAUUUUCCCCGCGACUUUUUUUAAUUAGUUGUGAAAAUAUUAAAUAAAACGGAUAAUAUAAGAAACAAUUAGAAGCGAACUAAUAUAAUAAGCAAAGUACAACGACAAUCUGAUCUUUUGCGAUAACGAUUUCUCUGCUUCUUGACGACGUAAAGAUAAGACUUGUGGGUCGACUUGUCCAUUUUUUUCAACUUGUAUUACUCUAACCAAGAAACGAUAUAUGUUUAUUUGUUGCUCUGUUUUCAAGUUUUUUUUUAUUUUUUCCAACUUGUAUUUACCCUAACCAAGAAACGAUAUAUGUAUGUAUUUUAUUUGUUUCUCUGUUUUCAAGUUUUUUUUCGUUGCUAUGUCUCUCUCUCAGUCUCUCUUGAAUUAGGACCUGACUGGUUCAAACGCAGCGGUUGCGGUUGCGGUUGCGGGAGUUUGUGGAUGCGGACGGUUACGGUUUUUAGCGAUUUUAAGAGAUUUGUACGACUGGUACUGCGGUUAAAAAUUGGUGCGUUUGCGGGUGACUUAUGACUGGUUAACUACCAAAUGCGGUAACAAUCAAAUAAUAAAUUAACAAUAUUUACAUUUAAUAUAAUUAUAAAAAUAUCAAAAAUCAUAAAAUUAUAAUAAAUAUAAAAUUUAUAUUUAGAAAGUAAAGAAGACUCUUUCCUCAAAACUGAAUCCAAUAUUAGUCAAAUGUUCAAAUCUAAACACCAACCAAUCUCAUUCAAUUCGGAACCAAACCUAAACCGAAAAAUGGAACCACGAAUAUCUAAUUCAAUCAAAUCACCAAGAAGACCCGAUGAACCGGAGACUAAGACACACAUUAGUGCGUUCUGUGAUUCUUCAUAAGGAUUUAGCAAGUAACACGAAGUGACUGUAGCCUAUCUGUGACACAAUUUACAAGCUCACACAAUAACCAAGCUUAAGGCUUUCAAAGCCUACAAGUAAGAGAACAUAAAUCAAACAUAAUAUAUAUAGUCUAGCAAAUUUGAGCUGCGUCCUGUUAAUCAGCGAAUCUCUUCUUCCGGCUUAGUAAAAAAGCAGAAGAACAGAGCUAAGUGUUCAUUGCCUGCUGUAAUCACAAAGAUUCCUAAGGAUUUAUAACUAACAACCCCAAAGUAACUGUAGCCAUAAUAUCUAAGACACAAUUUACAAGCUCACACACUGAUAGUGUUAAUUACUUCCUACUUAAAGACUAAUGUAUUAAGCUUUUGAGUGUAACAGGAAACAAGACUAACACAACCUGCAGAGAGUCGAGUUAACGAUGGAACUAGGCUUAUCCAAACUUGAGAUAGCUUACAAGAACAAUCAAAUGCAAAGACGAACACAUUUCUCAAGCAUGAUUGAUCCAAAAAAGGCUUAUGCUUGUGGUGUAAAAGAAGACUCUUUCCUCAAAACUGAAUCCAAUAUUAGUCAAAUGUUCAAAUCUAAACACCAAACAAUCUCAUUCAAUUCGCAACCAAACCUAAACCGAAAAAUAGAACCGCGAAUAUCUAAUUCAAUCAAAUGGAACCGGAGACUAACCGGGAAGCUGGAAGAUCGAACCGAGGAGGGGCUACGCAUUAGCGGUCUUAGGGAUAAGAGGAACACCGUUCCCUUGUAGCUUACUCUGUUUAGCCUUGGCUUCUUCCUCGCGGAUCUUCUGCAUCGCGAGCAUCCUCUCCAUCACGAGCUCGUACUCGCACUUCUCGUACACGUGGCGCUCGUCCUCGCACUUCCACGGGAGGAAGAACUCAGCCUGGCGACAUUUGUUGAGCGGCAUCAGGAGAUGAGCGCACUGAUCUCUGUAUCCGAGCGGUACUUUGGCUGCCACCAUCUCUUCCUGCGUUGCGAUCAUCUUCUUCGAUGAACCUGGAACCUCCAUUUUCCUCUCGCGAUCCCUAACCUCUCUCCUUCUUUCUCUUUGGCGACUCCGAUUUGCUUGACCCGGACAUACUCAGGUUUUUUUUGUUCCGGGUCAUAGUUUAAAUGGGCUCAAUUGGUAUACUAAGCCCAAGUUUUAUUCAAUGGUCUUUUACAUUUUUUCGACAACAUUUUAAGUUAUAUACAAAAGAUGAACGAACCACUGAUGGUGGAUUCUGAGAACUGGUCUUUACUUAGCCAAAAAAAAAAAUCAUAAACUUUUAGUUUGAUUUAUUUUAGCAUUCAAUUGUUAAUUUUUUUUUAUUUUGAUCUUGUUUUUACUAAAUUGUUUUAGAUAUACAAAAAUCAACUGUUAAAUCGAUUUUAGCAGUUAAUUUUUCACUUAUCUAAAACGAUUUAGUUUUAAAAAAAAGAUUAAAUAAACGAUUUAAAAGGUUAAAAGUGACAAUGUCUCAAGUGAAAACUUCGCAUUUUUUCUUUUUUAAAUUUCAGUAUCUGGUGGUUUUCUCAAACAACAUACUUUUCGUUUUUUUUUCUUAAUAUAUAUUUCAUAUAACAUGCAUAACUUGUAAUCUUGUGUACAUAUACUAAUUUAACACUACAAAAUUUAGAGAGUUAUCGACUUGUUGGUUAAAAGAUUGUAAUUGAUUUAACACUGCAAAAGCAAAUGUGAGAAGACUGUUUGGAACUGAAAGAAACGAGUACACAAACAGUUGUUCUUUUAAACAAACACAAUUUACACAAGAAAAGAAACAAACUUUGUAUGUAAUGGAAGGAGAGAGAGAGAAAGAGAACAACCACAUUAUAACUUGGACGCCUUCUUCUGCUUAUACCUAGCGGCAGAGAAGAAGUAAACCGCCAUGUUCACAAGGCUAAGCCCAGCCAAAAGCCAGAAGUAGUAAUCAAGAUGACCCGAGUUCAGAUUAUCCGAUAUCCAACCUUGUUCACCGUUCCUCGUCGUGAAAUAAGUCACCAGCGUGAGGAUCAACGAACUCAAGUAGUUCCCAAGAGCAUUAGUCAAAAGAGCCAAAGCACUGCACAAGCUCCUCAUUGCAUCUGGAGACUGAUCAUAGAAAAACUCAAGCUGUCCUAUGAAGUAGAACACUUCCGCCGCACCGAGGAUGAAGUACUGUGGGAUCUGCCAUAACACCGAUAUGGGGACAGGAGCUCCAGACUCAACCAACCCGAGCUCGUUGGCUAAAUGGAGCCUGAUGAUCUCGACAAUCGCUGCAGCUGCCAUACAGAGAACAGAGACGAACAGACCAACCCCCAUUCUCUGUAUCUCAGUGAAUCCUUUGUCUACUCCAGUGAACCGUCUAGCUAAAGGGACGAUGAACCUGUCGUAGAGAGGAACCCAGAUGAUGACGCUAGCUGUGUCAAACGUCCCGAGCGCUGCAGGAGGAAGCUGGAAAGAUCCUAUUUUGCAGUCCAUGGCUCGGCCUUGUUGAACAAACAUUGUUGACAUUUGUGCGUAUACAGCUGAGAAAAUGAUACCUGAAGCCCAUAUUGGGAACAUUCGUAUCAGAAUCUUGAGUUCUUCGACUUGAGUAACUGUGCAUAGUCUCCACGAGUUGGAGAAGUCUCCGGUUUUGGAUUCUUCUUCUGAGAUAACAGCAGCUUUGUCAAGAUACCUGCAUCAAUAGAGACCCCAUGUUAAACAAAGCAAAGCUAUAUAUAUACUCGUUAGGAUAAUAGAUGUUUUAGAAAAAAAUUUGAUUCACAAAAAUAGAUUUUUUGUGUUUUCUAUGAAAAUGUUGUAAAUUUUUUAAAAAAUUAAUUAAUUUAUUGGUUAAAACUUAUUGAAAAUUGAUAAUAACAAAAAAAAAAUUAUAUAUUUAUUAUAGUGAUUUAAUGUGUUUUCUUAGUAACCCCAAGACCCUUGUCUUAGCUAUCCCUGGAACAAGGGACCUCUAACACAAUGGCAUGGCUCCUUUCAGUUGAGCUAGUAAAGCAAAGCUAUUCAUUCCCAGGAAGAAGAUGAAACUUACUGGCAAUCAUCGGUAUGUUCGAUUUUUCGACUUCCAGCAAUAGCAGAGUUCUUGUCCUGCGUUUCAUACAGAAGCAUUGCGUCUUCAGGGACUGUGAGAGUCGAUUUACGGAACGAGGCCACCACCACUUGGGAGAUCCGAGUGAUAGGGCUGCCUCCAGGCUUCUGAAACCUGUAAAGAGGCGUGCCAAAGAAGAAACUUGCAAUGGCGAGUCCCAUGAAGACGGUUGGUAUACCAAAACCUAAACCCCAGCCGCGGUUCUCUUGGAUCCAGACAAGAAGACUAGAAGAGACUAGCGCUCCAAUGUUGAUGGAGAAGUAGAACCAGUUGAAGAAGGAAGCUUUCUUAACUCGUUCGCGAGAGUCCGUGUCAUCGAACUGGUCUGCACCGAAGGAUGAGACGCAUGGUUUGAUGCCUCCAGUGCCGAGGGCGAUCAGGUAAAGCCCACCAAAGAACAUUGCGUACUGUGCUGGUGUUGCUGAUGGACAGAAAGUGCCAAUGCAUUCCGCUGGCUUUAGUGCCGGAACUGACGCUGAGAGAGUUAGCGCAGACAUGCC
rnacentral:lncRNA from 1 species